rnacentral:tRNA from 1 species
GGGCCCAUAGCGUAGUUUGGAUAGCGCGCAGGCCUCCGAAGCCUGAAGUCCGGGGUUCGAAUCCCUGUGGGCCCGCCA